GAUGAAGAACGUAGCGAAACGCGAUAGGUAAUGUGAAUUGCAGAAUUCCGUGAAUCAUCGAAUCUUUGAACGCACAUUGCGGCCAUAGGUAUUCCUUUGGCCAUGCCUGUUCGAGCGUCAUUUACACCCUCAAGCCUAGCUUGGUGUUGGGCGCCUGUCCCGCCGUUUUCGCGCGCGGACUCGCCUCAAAGUCAUUGGCGGCGGUCGUGCCGGCCCCCUCGCGCAGCACAUUUGCGCUUCUCGGAGGCCCGGCGGAUCCGCGCUCCAGCAAGACCUUUCACGACUUGACCUCGGAUCAGGUAGGGAUACCCGCUGAACUUAAGCAUAUCAAUAAGCGGAGGA
rnacentral:misc_RNA from 1 species